GUGGGUUUUUCACUUUCAUCAGAAAAAUUGCAAGCAGUACUUCUUGUUUUGGUAUCUCACACUGGCCAUGCUUUGUCUCCUGCCCUUUGGGCAGUUUUUAGUCUCUUUUCUUUCUCCUGCAGUAGCUCCACUGUAUUUCAGUGGACUGUAGCCACAGAGACAGUGUAUCUUUCCAUGUUUCUAACACCACACCACACAAUGACAGUAAAAAUUCUAGUCCACAAACCCUGCUUUAAAGGAAAUUCCUUGUUUGCCAGUGACUCCAGCAGAGCUGAAUGUGAUCCUGUGAAAGAGCAAUUUGAUGAUGAAAGAACUCAGUGGGGAAACCCCCACUCAGCUCCCGAUUCGGCGUGCACCCANNNNNNNNNNNNNNNNNNNNNNNNNNNNNNGUAGCUACAUUUUGUAAUGGCUGAAUGAAGGCAUGGAGGCAGCAAAGUUGGAGCUCACAUCUCGAACUACAAACAGAACAAUGAGAUUGAAUUUGAAAUGGCUUGAGUCUCUAAACUCUAAAAACCUUUGUCCAGAUACAUACCUCCUUCAGCAAGGCCACACUUCUUAGGCCCCCCCAAACCAUGCUACCAAUCAUGGACUAAUUAUGUAAAUGUCGUAGACUAUGGGGGGGCAUAUCAUUAAAACUACCACACUUACAUUUAUUAACCAAUUUGUCUAUAUAGCCAUUCUCUUGUUUCAAGGUUUCUAGUCCCUGACAUGAUUUCUUUCUCAUUGAGUGGGCCCUAAGUCCAAUUUGCCAGUCACUGGUUAACACUAACAUAUGAAAGCCAUUUAUUUCAACUUUUCAGAUAUCUCUCCAUACCUGCUAUUGUGGUGGUUCAUAGGUGCCACAGCUGGAUAGAACUAUUAAGUGUUUUUUGUAUAGUAUUUUCUGGUACUAUGAAAGCUAGACUUUAAGAAGGAGACUCUGUGUUUCUACAAUACAAAUUAUGAUCUUACUUGAGAAGAGAUUUUCCCUCACUCAUGACAAGUAGAUGUACACAACUCUGACAGCUUUUAUAUUAGUGCAAGAGAUCUGAACUGGGGUUCAUUAAUCCACUGAGCCCUCUCUCUAGUCCUGCAAAGUGUUUUCUUACUUUAGAAAUCAAUUGCAGGAAUUUCUAUGACUAACAUGCUGAAAGAUAUUUGGAUCUCUUUCCCUUGGAAGAUCAAAAUGUUCUGUUAUGUUAUAAAACAUACUGACUGAUUAACAUAGGUUUUCUGUACAAAAAGAGUGCCCCUUAAGCCUCCACCCUCAGGACAGGACAAGUUGCUGUGAUUUUAGAGUCUAGCUUAGAAAAUCCCAUGUAAACCAUCACGCUUUCAGCUGUCCAUCUUGAUUCGUGGUUUUCAUCCUUAUUCCCUCAUAUAUUUGUCACACUUCCAUCAAUUGCAUUUUCUCUUACCAAUGAGUUUACUCCCCAACUCAGUGAAAAGCACUUCUGUCAGCCAUGUUCCUUUUAGAACUCUGGAGCUGGAACUGGUACUAUCAACAACUGCCAUUAUUUUUAAACUGAGUUUUUUUUCUUUAAGAUUUAUAAUCUUAUAAUUUUCAUUUCCCUUCCUUUUACAUUUUUCUUAUUUUUUUCCAGCACUAUGUUUCAUAAAUAGCAUUUUGGUAGAUGACUGUAGGCUUCCAGACUUGGGAAAAACCACUAAAUACUGAUUCAUAUCUUGAAUAUAAAAUCCUUAUUCCAGAAUCUCCUGCAGCUGUGGAGACAAGGCAACGAUGCCAUUAAUAAGAUCUGAGAACCAGACACAUUUUUUGUCUGAGUGAGACAGUGGGGUAUGUCCUUAUUCACUAUCAGAUACCCUACUUUAAAAUUACAAACUUUGACAUUCUUUCAUCAUUUUUUCCUUUAUGUGAGAAAAAACUGAUUUUUCUCAUAUAAUAUAUCCUGAUUACAAUUUCUUCUCCCCACAAGACUCUCCAUUCCUUCCCACCUCUUCCUACCAUCUGCAUUCACUCUUUUUCUGUCUCUCAUUAGAAAACAAAGGUAUCUGAGGAAUAAUGAUACAUUUAAUAUAAUAAGCUAGAGUAAGAUAACACAGAACCCAUCCAUUGUAAUUGGAUAAAACAGACAGAGGAAAAGAAUGGAAAAGAAGACACAAGAAACAGAGACCUACUCAUUUGCACACUCAGGAAUCCCAUUACACCACUAAAAUGGAAACCAUAAAAUAUAUGUUAAGGACUUGGUGAAGCCUUGUGCAGGCACUGUGCAUACACCUUCAGUCUCUGCUAGUUUAUUUGUCCUUUGAUCUUAUCGAUUUAGACGGAUUAUUUUUUUGCCUUUAAGAGUAAGAUAAAAACAGGGAUUUGUCAAUCUGGCUUUGAGAUCUCUGAAUAUUAAAUAACAAUUAUUUCUCACU
ensembl:lincRNA Gm30414 predicted gene, 30414